GAUUCUUAAUUUGGUUUUGGUAUCCAAAAUAUUUUAAAUAACUGUCCGUUCAGAUGAUUAUGAUUUUUCAUUUGAUUUUAUGUGAAGUGAUUUCGGUUCAGUUCGACUAAGGCUGGGUGUUCGGAUAUCCAUCCGUGUUUGGUCCAUGUUUAGUAUGUUGGGUAUUUCGAUUUAGGAAUUUACUACUGUUCAGAUACUUUUCAUAUUCGGAUCGGGUUUGCAUAGUGCACCAUAAAAUAUCUUUCCAAAGUUUAUCAGAGGUUUUGAAGCUUACUGGAAAGUGAAAAUCUAUUAAGAGCUUGAUUGGCAUAACAAACAUCAUGCUCAUUUUAGACCAAAUAACAUCAUGCUCAUUAUUAUCCAAUCAUUAAUUAUUAAAAAAUAAUAUUUAGAUUAACAUUUAAAAGUUGUAAAUGUUCUUCAAAUAUUUGCUCAAUGCUCUCGCAUUGAACUUUUUAUAUAGUAACAUUUAUAAUAUAUGAAAAUUAAAAAUAAUAGAGAAUGCGAUUUACCAUCAUUUAUGUAGAUUAGCGAAGACAAGAUUACAAAUGAUCUUCUGUUGUCUGAUGCAAGUAGAACCGUCAAACAUAAUUUUAUUUAGUUGUCUGAAAUUGUAAAUGUAUAACUUCCUAGCGUUAAUUUUCAUAAGAUAGUAAAAUUAGCUUUAUAAAAUCGUUAAGAGAAAUUCUUUAAUAUAGCUAUUUUUAGUUUUUUUUUUUUUUACCAAAAGAGCUCCAAAAAAUGACGAAAAGAAGUUUUAUUAAAUUGUGAAUAUACAAUUAUACGCUUAACUAAUCUAAACUUUAGAACUAAGUUUAGAGAUAAUGAAAUUUUUCGAGGUGGAUUUUGGAGGUGGGUUUAUUAUUUUUAAAAUAGAAAAUAAAAAAGUUUCAAAAACAUUUUUAAAUUUCAAAAAAAAUUAUAAAAAAUAGAAUUUAAAAACAUAUAAUAAAAAAGUUAUUUUCAUUUAUUAUUUAUUUAUAUUUGUAUAUAUAUAAAGCAAAUGGUAGAAAAAUAUUUUGUAUCUUUAAUGGAACCCCUUUUAUCAUUUUUUUUUCCAUUGGAGAUUAUUUUUGUGACAAAAACUUAAAAAUAGCUAUUUGAGAAAAUUGUCCAAUCCUUUAUGCAAUGCCUCUUAUGUAUUAUAAUAAAAAAAAUCAAUGUUUAAAAAAAAUCACUCUGGAAGCUCUUUUAGUUUAGUGAUUUGACCAAAAGUUCAUUAGACCAUCGCUAACCCACCUCUAUUUUCAUCACUAUAUUUUUUCCUUAAAUAGAAAAAUUCUAUUGGAGAAGUAGAUUUGCUCUAAUGUAUGUCUAUAUAAUAAAGUUUAUCUAUUUUUAGAGGAAAAUAUAAAGAAUUGUUAUUUCCAUCUCUAAAUAUAGAGUCAAAUAAUAAAAUUCAUGUAUAUUCCUCUAAAAUAGAGAUCUUUAUUCUCUAUUUUUGUCUAAAUUAGAGACACUCUAUUAUAUAGACAUGCAUAGAAACAAAUCCACCUUAUCAUAGAUAUCUCUAUUUUAGAGGAAAAUAGAGAGAUUGGAGAUGCUCUUAAUGCUUACAUACUAAGAAGUCUAGGGUUUAGAUCCCAAAGAAU